UUUAUGAAUAAAGAAACAAAAAAUAACACAUACCCCAAACAUUGCAAACACAAAACCCUCAAAAACCUAACAAUAGUGUCUGUCAACAUCAUCCUGGGAGGGAUAAUACACUGCACUACAAUAGAAAUACAAAUCCCUAUCAUCUAUAUCUCAAUGGGUUCCAUCUUUUCUUUUGUUCUUUUUUCUAAUGCGGUUUUAUAAUCCCUGAGACAAGUAAAUCUGGCCCUAGAGUGUUAUAUAUAUUAGCGUCUGUAGCAUGUAUAAGGGACAUGUUAUCAUACCUGUGUCUUUUUAUAGGUGAUUAAUGCCCGGUGAGAGGGUGAAAGGGACCUAUAACCCCGUCAGCUGCAGGAAAGGAACAAAGAGACAGGUGAUUAAUGCCCGGUGAGAGGGUGAAAGGGACCUAUACCCCCGUCAGCUGCAGGAAAGGAACAAAGAGACAGGUGAUUAAUGCCCGGUGAGAGGGUGAAAGGGACCUAUACCCCCGUCAGCUGCAGGAAAGGAACAAAGAAACAGGUAAUUAAU